rnacentral:rRNA from 1 species
UACGGGGGGGGCAAGCGUUGUUCGGAAUUACUGGGCGUAAAGGGCUCGUAGGCGGCCAACUAAGUCAGACGUGAAAUCCCUCGGCUUAACCGGGGAACUGCGUCUGAUACUGGUUGGCUUGAAUCCGGGAGAGGGAUGCAGAAUUCCUGGUGUAGCGGUGAAAUGCGUAGAUAUCGUAAGGAAGACCAGUGGCGAAGGCGGGUCUCUGGACAGUUCCUGACGCUGAGGCACGAAGGCCAGGGGAGCAAACGGG